GUGCGGAGGCCCUGCUGGGGGACAGGACUCUGAGCUCGAUCAGCAUCCAGCUAGUUAUCAUCUCUUCCCAGCCGCCUCAGUUACAGGGCCUCUCGUUUCUGUCACCACCACCACGAGCAAGUACAAGCACUCAUGCCCUCUCGCCCACCAGUCAGCAGCACCUGUUAACAUGUGUGGUUUGGGAUACGUAAAGUCGUGGAAAACCGGGUGUCUGGCCUGGAGGAGCCCAUGACAGCCCUCCGUGAAACAGACAGACAGACAGACCAAUCGCUGGAGUGACUUCACCAGUGCUUUUGCAGCCAUCAUCUUCUCUUGACCUUAUGUCCUCUUUACAGUGCCCUUCGGGAACUCCUCAUAGCUCUGACCCUACCCGUCUUUAGCUUAAAACCUGUAGUCCUUCUUUUCUUACAGAAUGAAGAUUCGCCGUUGAGACUGGUCCCAGGAGCACACCUUUUAUACCCUGCCUACCCUUCUUUCCUCUACUGCUUUCUGCUCCUGCCCACUCAUCAGAGAUGGAUUCAGAUGACAAGGUUCCCUGAAGCCUCCCGGACCGCCUAGGGACUUGCAUGUGAUUUGCCAUUAAACAUCAUGUCCCAAAUUGCAAUUCUUUGCUGUUCCUGAAUAAACCCAUGUUGCUGGAGAAAUGUCCGGCUGGCUAUUUGUUGAAGGAAGUGCACAGUGUACCCCGGCCGCAGUGUGGGCCUGCCAUUCCCAGCGUGAACACAGCCCUCGCCUGUUGGUUCCUCAGCGCCCUGGGGAGACGGCCAGCAAGCGUGCGAGCUCGGGAGCGGUACUGGGCAAAGGUUCCCGUCCACGAGGGUCUGGACUUCUGUUCAUAGGUCAUGUCAAUGUCAUGAAGGCCCCUCAACAGCUGGUAGAGGAGCAUCCCCACCAUGGGCUGCAGAUCCCUGUGAUGGGAGGAAUGUCAGAGUCACAGCAAAGAGGCGGAAGUGGGGUGGCAGUAACCCAUAUGUACAUGUCAACUGUCUUAAUCGAGUAUUAUUAAAAAUGCAACCAUUGC